rnacentral:rRNA from 1 species
UACGUAGGGAGCAAGCGUUGUCCGGAUUUAUUGGGCGUAAAGAGCUCGUAGGCGGUUCGGUAAGUCGGGUGUGAAAACUCUGGGCUCAACCCGGAGAGGCCACUCGAUACUGCCGUGACUUGAGUCUGGUAGGGGAGACUGGAAUUCCUGGUGUAGCGGUGAAAUGCGCAGAUAUCAGGAGGAACACCGGUGGCGAAGGCGGGACUCUGGGCCGAUACUGACGCUGAGGAGCGAAAGCGUGGGGAGCAAACAGG